rnacentral:rRNA from 1 species
GAUGAACGCUAGCUACAGGCUUAACACAUGCAAGUCGAGGGGCAGAAUGGGAUUAGCUUGCUAAUCCUGAUGGCGACCGGCGCACGGGUGAGUAACGCGUAUCCAACCUUCCCCCUGCUCAGGGAUAGCCCGGUGAAAACCGGAUUAAUACCUGAUGGUUUCAUUUGACGGCAUCAGAUGAUGAAUAAAGAAUUUCGGCAAGGGAUGGGGAUGCGUCUGAUUAGCUUGUUGGCGGGGUAACGGCCCACCAAGGCAACGAUCAGUAGGGGUUCCGAGAGGAAGGUCCCCCACAUUGGAACUGAGACACGGUCCAAACUCC